CAUAUGUUUGUGCAGUAACCAAGUACAUUAACUCAAGUUCUGUAAUUAAAUACAAUGUUGAGGUACUGCUUUACUUGAGUAUUUCCA